rnacentral:tRNA from 1 species
GGGGAUUUAGCUCAGUGGCAUAAGCACCUGCCUUACAAGCAGGCGGUCAUGAGUUUGAUCCCUG